GAUGAACGCUGGCGGCAUGCCUAAUACAUGCAAGUCGAGCGAACAGACGAGGAGCUUGCUCCUCUGACGUUAGCGGCGGACGGGUGAGUAACACGUGGAUAACCUACCUAUAAGACUGGGAUAACUUCGGGAAACCGGAGCUAAUACCGGAUAACAUGUUGAACCGCAUGGUUCAACAGUGAAAGACGGUCUUGCUGUCACUUAUAGAUGGAUCCGCGCCGCAUUAGCUAGUUGGUAAGGUAACGGCUUACCAAGGCAACGAUGCGUAGCCGACCUGAGAGGGUGAUCGGCCACACUGGAACUGAGACACGGUCCAGACUCCUACGGGAGGCAGCAGUAGGGAAUCUUCCGCAAUGGGCGAAAGCCUGACGGAGCAACGCCGCGUGAGUGAAGAAGGUCUUCGGAUCGUAAAACUCUGUUAUUAGGGAAGAACAAAUGUGUAAGUAACUAUGCACGUCUUGACGGUACCUAAUCAGAAAGCCACGGCUAACUACGUG
rnacentral:rRNA from 1 species